AUCUCGGGAGUCGCCUCUCGAGUGCAAAGGGCAAUCCUCGGAAGAAGCGUGUUACCCCUCGGGAGGAGCUAAUAAUUGAUGUCGACAUAUUUCGCCGCGUCUCCGGGGAUGUCCCUGAAUUCGCCCGAUGCAUCGACAGUCGAACCGACGAAGAACCUCGCGGGAAAUACACUGGGAAAGAAGAGAAACUUCUCCCGGGAACGACUGGGUCAACUUCUAAUUCGAUCGCGUUGACGAAUCGCGCGGUUGAUUACCAUUCAGCGGGCCAAGUUCGGGUUCGCGUGGCUUCCGGAGACGCAUGGAAAUGUCCUCGGCCCCCGGGGACCUUCAAGAAGCUUCCCAAGAAAAACGAGGACAAGUGUUCAGGACGUCGCGGAACCGCUCGGAGUACGCUGUCCCGUAGCGAAACGCUGUUGCUCCCGGCGAAGCUUAUUUACCGGUACGCUCGAGUGCUUUACCUUGUCGGCGGCGAUCGACGAGGGCCGAUUAUACGAGUAAUUCGUUACGCCUGCCACGCCACGGGCGAAUGUCUUUGAUAUUGGAUACACGGCGCGCGGUGUAAUUAAAAGGGAUUCAGUGGUUCUCGGUGUUCCCGUGGCGCAUCAUUCAGGGCGCGCCGUUAAUACGUUAACCGGAGACGGCGAGCUCACCUUGCUUCGCCGUUCGACCGACUUCCGAGACCUCGGGUUCCUUACAAUCAGCGGAGAACGAGGAAUCCCGCCGAGGGAAUCGAAGAAUCCGCGUUACAGCGCGGUCGAGUCACAUUCGCGGCGAGUUUGUCGAACGGAUUGGAUUGCCGCGAGCGGCCGAAGGAAUUAUGCAUGCCGCAUACACGGCUCGGCGAGGGGCGAGCUCGUAUUUACCCGGCGCCGCGGUUCUCUCGUUACGGCCGCGUGUUUUGCUCGACCUCUUUGGUUCUCCGCGCGCUGUACGCUCCGCGCGGAGCCAUUCACGUACACGCCGGCGUCCGUCAACGCGUUGCUCGUGUUUUUUCCAACGGCAACAGCGCUCGCCGAGCGAUCGCGGAAGAGGCUCUUAAUGGAUCGUCUCGAGACAGCCGUCGCUGAAAAGCCGGCGAUUGUCGCUGAAGAAGUAUUGAGAACGUCGCUGCGACGAAGGACGGGGAAAAUCUAGGGAACUCGAUUACCAGGGAGCGGCAGAUGGUCGAAUUAAGAGCGCAUUGAAGGAUCUUUCCGGGGAUCCGCGGCGCCGCGGUUGAGAACCGGGGAAUAAGUUAUCGGGCAGGAACGGUGUGCAACAACACGUUGUAAGAUAAUGCGAUUUGGUACCCGGCAGAGAGCUACCUUGGUCGCGGGACCGUGCAGCUACAUCGACGUCGGGACACGAACACGCGGGACGUGUGUUCGAACACGGGAGCACAGGUAUACGCGGCUGCUGUGUACACAGAGGCCAUGAUAAACGAGCCAGACGAUAUUUCCGCGCAACUGUGCUCCCGCAUACGAGUGUAACAGCGCAGCGUUAUGUCAAUGCGAUCGCGUUUUAAGCAGAUGUACGGAACGCACGUGCCCGCAGGAAUCCUGGGUUUACCCUGUGUGACUUGCUGGAUAGCCGGAAUCGUGGCCUGCGUUAAUUGUAGUGGCACUCUGGGUUUAAAUUCGGUUGAGGAUUUCAAGAACUGCAGGUUGCUUCCAGGAACCCCGAGGAAUUGUUCUCCGGAAUGAUUCAUGAACUUUUAAAUAGGUCUGUAGGAUUGUGAACGUCUUUAGGAGAAUCUUUUUGAAAGGAGGUAUUGUUGAAGGCUUUUGAAAAGACGCUCCGGUUCUACGGGGGAGCUUGAAGAAACCUUGAAGUAUGUAGAAAUUUAGAAUUCAUAUGGAGGACUACGACUGGUGCAAAAUCUUCGUAGGAUAAUGUUAGUUUGAUAUUAUUACUUUGAUAUUUCACAUAGUGAAUAUUUCAAUUAGUAGAAAGCCUUGGCAUUAGAAAAAUAAUGGCAUUAGUCAGUUAACCCUUUGCACUCGAAAGUUUUUCACUAGAAAUAUUCACAGGCAAAACGAAUUGCUAUAAUUCACUCAAUUAAACGAUGGUUAUUCGCAAACAUUUCUAUAUUACAAAUAAUGAUACUCAUUGCGACAUUCAGU